rnacentral:rRNA from 1 species
UGCAAGUCUAAUGUUAACACAUGGCGUACGGGUGUAUAAUGUAUAAGAAUCUGCUUUGAAGAUUGAACAAGUUAAUUUUUAACUAAUUUCAAAUAUUCAAAAGAGAAAAUCGCUUUAAAAUGAGCUUAUAUAGGAUUAGGUAGUUGGUUUAAAGGUAAAAGCUUACCAAGCCGAUAAUCCUUAAUUGAUCUGAGUAGGAUGAUCAAUCACACUAAGACUGAGACAAGGCUUAGACUUUUUAAAAGGCAGCAGUGAGGAAUUUUGGACAAUGAGUGCAAGCUUGAUCCAGCAAUAUAAAGUGAAUGACAGAAAGCCAUUUUCGGUUGUAAAGUUCUUUUAUUAAAAAAUAUUAUGACUUAUUUAAUGAAAAAACCCGAGCAAAUUUCGUGCCAGCAGCUGCGGUGAUACGAGACGGGUUAGUGUUAUUCAGAAUUAUUGGGCGUAAAAGGUGUGUAGACUACUAUUGUUGUAAAUAUUUAAAGCUUAAACUUGACACUUUUAAGAGAUAUUUUAAACAAAUAGUUUGAGUAUGGGAUAAGAUUAUAGAAUUUCAGGAGAAAAAAUAAAAUUUGUAGAUACCUGAAGGAAUGCCAAAGGCGAAAGCAAUAAUCAUUACUUUACUGACGUUGAUACACGAAAGUAUAGGUAUCAAACAGGAUUAGAUACCCUGGUAGUCUAUACUGUAAACUAUAAAUAUUCGUUUUAAAAUUAAAAAGAAUUUUGAGACUAAACUAACGUGUUAAAUAUUUUGCCUGAGAAGUACGCCGGCAACGUUGAAACUCAAAGGAAUUGACGGGGAUUUAUAACAUUGGUGGACUAUGUGGUUUAAUUCGUCAAUACACGCAAAACCUUACCAAUUCUUGAAUAAUUAUAAAACUAAAAUAAAAGAUUAGUUUUAAUAUAAUUACAGGUGCUGCAUGGUUGUCGUCAGUUCGUAUUGUGAAAUGUCUGGUUUAUUCCUGUAACGAGCGAAACCCUAUU